UCUGUGAUUUCAAGCUCUAUCUGUGAAAGGAGGGAGUGAGGGGAGGGGCUGGUCUGACCGAGUGAAGAAGUGAAAGUGAAAACCAGUGUAGGAUGACUAAAGAGGAAGUGAGCUUGCAUAAAUAGACAGACUCUCACAUACUCGCAUGCAGAUCCCCAGCAGACAACAGAAGAGAAGGAAGGGGGGGCAUUUGAAGGAAACGAAGACAGAAAGAGGGAACAGGUUUUUCAAGACUUCUCCAACUGCAAAGGAACCAACCAAGAUACAUAAACAACAUUUUUCUUUUCCUUGAGACAUGACGUCUGACCUGUGUUAUCCAAGGUCAGAACAGCAUAGAAAGUCUGACAGGACCACUGGCCUUAGCGAGUGGGAUAGUAACGGAACCCAUAAUGCAGCUGGACUUUGACUGACAGCUGUAUAUAGAUUCCGUUGCCAUCACUCCUCGCAAACUAAAGGGCUGCCGUUCUCUACCUUGUUUAAACUUGAUGGUUUACUUGUGUGUAUGCAUAAGCCUCUGUGAGAGUAUUGUUUAAGAUGGUGUUGAGUGGAAUGGGGUGUGUGUUGGAGACUCCACCAUAGCUCUGAUAUGAGGGAUGUUGUUCUGGAAUGACACGUUUUCUCCCGGAUCGCCAGACUCAUGAUUCGCCACCGGGAACUUCGUGUCAGCCAAGAAUGGCAUCCAUAUCCACCGUCACAAUUCCAUCACAAAGCUUGUUAAUGUGUAAUGUUUAACAUCACUGUGUGUAGUUUUAUUGUUUGUUCUUUUUUUAAGAAUACAUAUUAAAGGCAUUGUAUGCUUGUAAUCUGAUGGACUUGCAGAUUUGCACUCUUUUAAAAUUAAAACCAUAUAGUGUGCUACAACAACUGUAGUUGAAAUUUAAUCAUUUCCUUCACAUGAUCGUACCGUCUGUGAUGAACCUAAAUUGAGGCUAGUCAUUGACCUAGAGCACAAAACCAAAGACCACUUGGGGUUGAUAUAUUAUGGCUUAUUAUUAGUCGUGCAAAGGGUAUAGGAAAUAUGAAAUGAAUCAGUUCCUGUAACUUCAUUUUUUUUGUCAAUCUCUCUCCCUCAUGUGAUCCCUUUGGUGUCAGGCAGAUACAGUUCUGCUGGGCUGCUUGUGGUGCAUUGCCAUAAGAAGUGGUUUUGGUAAGAUGAUUUCAUCAUGAUGGCCCCAACACAUUGAAGGCAGACUGCCUACUCACAUCCAGCAUUGUAGACAUCAACACGAAAAAUGUGGACAGAUCAUGAACAUACUUGAAAAAAGGUUCCUUGUGCAGGAAAUUGAGGGCUC
rnacentral:lncRNA from 1 species